rnacentral:rRNA from 1 species
CCCUUAGAUGUUCUGGGCCGCACGCGCGCUACACUGAUGCAUUCAACGUGUCUAAAACCUGCUCUGAUAGGGGUGGGUAAUCUUUUGAAUGUGCAUCGUGAUUGGGAUAGAUGAUUGCAAUUUUUCAUCUUCAACGAGGAAUGCCUAGUAAACGCAAGUCAUCAGCUUGCAUUGAUUACGUCCCUGCCCUUUGUACACACCGCCCGUCGCUCCUACCGAUUGAAUGAUCCGAUGAAUAUCAUGGAUUGAGGAUGCAAGUAGGUUCGCCUAUCUUCAUCUUCGAGAAGUGAAGUAAAUCUUAUCAUUUAGAGGAAGGAGAAGUCGUAACA